rnacentral:rRNA from 1 species
UACGUAGGUGGCAAGCGUUGUCCGGAAUUAUUGGGCGUAAAGGGCGCGUAGGCGGUUUGACAAGUCUGAUGUGAAAUCUAUGGGCUCAACCCAUAGCCUGCAUUAGAAACUGUCGGGCUUGAGUAUGGGAGAGGUGAGUGGAAUUUCCGGUGUAGCGGUGAAAUGCGUAGAUAUCGGAAGGAACACCUGUGGCGAAAGCGGCUCACUGGACCAUAACUGACGCUGAGGCGCGAAGGUCAGGGGAGCAAACGGG